rnacentral:ncRNA from 1 species
ACAUAGGCUUUGAAAAGAAAGAGUAGAUACAGGUUGUUUAUCAGAGAGUGUGCGGUUGGUGAGAGCACAUAAACAAGUGUAUUGAACACAUCUUUGAGCUAAUCGGUGAAACCAUUUUUUGGGAGUAGUUGGAUUCGGGACUCGCACCCGUUACAGUGCAAAAGUAUGAUAGUACUUUUUGAGAUUGAUACUGUGAAGCAUCAAUAAAUUGAGGUGGAACCACGGGAGUUUUUUUAACCGUUUUGCGA